rnacentral:tRNA from 1 species
AGUAGCUCAGUGGUAGAGCGGUCGGCUGUUAACCGAUUGGUCGUAGGUUCGACUGCUGACAUUA